rnacentral:rRNA from 1 species
GAAUUGAAAGUUUUUUUUUUAAAGUUUUUUUUUCGUAGAUUGAACGCUGGCGGCAGGCCUAACACAUGCAAGUCGAGCGGAAACGAGUUAUCUGAACCUUCGGGGAACGAUAACGGCGUCGAGCGGCGGACGGGUGAGUAAUGCCUAGGAAAUUGCCCUGAUGUGGGGGAUAACCAUUGGAAACGAUGGCUAAUACCGCAUAAUACCUACGGGUCAAAGAGGGGGACCUUCGGGCCUCUCGCGUCAGGAUAUGCCUAGGUGGGAUUAGCUAGUUGGUGAGGUAAUGGCUCACCAAGGCGACGAUCCCUAGCUGGUCUGAGAGGAUGAUCAGCCACACUGGAACUGAGACACGGUCCAGACUCCUACGGGAGGCAGCAGUGGGGAAUAUUGCACAAUGGGCGCAAGCCUGAUGCAGCCAUGCCGCGUGUGUGAAGAAGGCCUUCGGGUUGUAAAGCACUUUCAGUCGUGAGGAAGGUAGUGUAGUUAAUAGCUGCAUUAUUUGACGUUAGCGACAGAAGAAGCACCGGCUAACUCCGUGCCAGCAGCCGCGGUAAUACGGAGGGUGCGAGCGUUAAUCGGAAUUACUGGGCGUAAAGCGCAUGCAGGUGGUUUGUUAAGUCAGAUGUGAAAGCCCGGGGCUCAACCUCGGAAUAGCAUUUGAAACUGGCAGACUAGAGUACUGUAGAGGGGGGUAGAAUUUCAGGUGUAGCGGUGAAAUGCGUAGAGAUCUGAAGGAAUACCGGUGGCGAAGGCGGCCCCCUGGACAGAUACUGACACUCAGAUCGAAAGAGCGC